GGCGCCUCGGCGGGACGUAGCUGAAGGAGGACAGCGCGGAGAUUGGCGGCGGCCGGGGCUCGCCCCGCAGCGUGGCGGCGGUGAUCUCCUCGUCCUCCUCGUCGCUCCCAUCCAUCGUUCCCUUCGUAGCCUCGGUGACUCCAGGGAGCAAGAGUGAGGAACCAAGAGGAAUGAGAAGCAGGAGAAUUCAUGUCCAGAUGCCUCAACCAGAUCACUAUUGAGGGAAAGUGGUGCUCAACUCGGUCCAGACCUUUCUGAGGAGCCUAGAAAACACCAGGGUAUUUUCUGCAUCAACGUGGAUGUGUGUUUUAUCUCUUGCUCAUUCUCCUUGGGCCGCAGGGGAACCCCUGGAUGUACUGAGCAGCAAGUCCUGUUCCUGCCUGCAGCCCAGUUCUGACGUGCAUGCCUGUCCCCCGGCUGUGUAACUGAGAACCCAUUCAUCAAUAGCACCCAAUAUCUACUGAGCACUGGCCACUGCCCAGGCACUUGGCCAAACAGCUUUCAAGGUAUCUCAAGCUAUCCCCCUACAUGAGGUAUCCAGACUCCUAACAGAUUUGGAUGCAUUUCCAGUUUGGGGAAUAGCACCUUCAGAGGCUGAUUUGCCUAGUUCACUGCCAAGAAGCCAAGCUGGAUUUGCACAUCAUCCAGCACGUGUAGCUUUUUCAGAGGGAAUUCACUCAAAUGUAAUGAAUUCUGCUUCCUGGUAGUUUCUCUUCUAUCUGAAAAAUAUUUACCAAGUAUCCACAUGCCCUCAAAUGAUCCAAGAUUUGGGAGGAUACUUGUCUUCAAGGUUCUCCCUGACCCCACGAUAGGCAUCUCUUCAUACCAGGGCAGUGUUUGUGCUCUCCUGUCUAGGCCUGGUUCAUGCCAAGAGGAAGGUAAGGAAAAUGGCCUGUUUUGUUCAUGCAGAACUGCCACCAUGCAACCCCCCCACACACCCAAUUUCUCUCUUACACACACACACACACACACACACACAGGACCCACUCUCUCCUCCAGGAAUAAGUAUUUAAAAUGCUGCAGCCCAACUGAUGUUAUAAACUUUUCUGCCCCCUAGCGUCAGGAGGAGGGGAUAUCAGUACUGCUUUGCUGCUUCAAGGGUUUAUGCUUGCAAAAGUUUUGUUUUUUUUUUAACCUAUUUUUAUUUGCUUUACUUUUGAAAGCUAACAGAGCAAGAUCAUGCCUUAUUCAAAACUGUCAAAUACACAGUACAGAAAGCUAUCAGUAUGAGUAUGCAUGUUCACUCCACUUUUGCUUGCACAGAUAAACAUUAAAAUUCAGAGUCAUGAAAAUUCAAUUUAUAAGGAUUUGGCUUUCUGACAGAGCUUGCCAAGUUCACUGCUACCUGUGACACCACCAACCCUGUGUCUACAGCCUAAAUCACUUCCAUAAACACAUGCACAUUUUCAGGAAGUUUUUUGUUUUCUUUUUGAACAGCCAGAAUUAGGCCUAUCCCCUUUCUUGGGAUGUCCCCUUUGGCUUUGUGUGGAUCAUUACAGACGUGGACAUUGUGCCCACAGACCCUCCUUUCUUUCUUUUAAAAUCCAGCUACAAAUAGCUCCAAGUGGCCUCAUUCCCAGCCCAGUCUCAUGCGAGCUCCUGGGGUGCCGGUGGGCUCGGCACGCUCAUCACCUGCCCUACCUGUUUACGUCACCCAACCCCCAGCCCUGUAGCAGGGGCUGCUUCCUGCCCUGGAGCUCCAAAGUCUAGUGUCAGAGUUAUGAGUACAUGGGGUGGGCAGGGGAGACCACAGGAGACAAAGUCCAGAUCAGGUGGUGACAAAACUGCAGUGGGAAGAGCAUCUGAUUCAGAUGAAGGCGACCAGGAGAAGAGGUCACCAAGGAUCAGGACUGAGAUGACAGCAGGUACGAAUGCUCCAGGCAGCUUUCUUUCUUCACAGUAUUUCUAACAGAUUAGCACUACAUGUUUGUGGGUCAGUCUCUUUCCCUCUUUCAACUGUGAGCUGUUAACCUCCACUACGGUUCAGGGAUGAGCUGACCAGGGUGACCCUGGCUGGCUGGUAGGGAACCAGAGCACUCACGAGACAAAACUGGCACCAGUCUGGAUAUCAGCAGGAAGGAAUUGUGAAAGGGGUUCCAAGAUCUGAUCUGAUCCUGAGCAGACCUUGGGCCCCCUGUCAAGAACACUGGUUUCAGGAAGUCUAACUGCUGUGAAAAAGUUCAAGUCAGCUAACUGCUCUGGUCUUGUCAGACUCUGAGACUGUCAAGGUCAUCUGGAAAGACAACUCCUCAGAAUCUGAGGCCCCUCUCUGCAACCAUGGCAUACUUGUACCAGGGAGCUGAGAGCUCACCUGGUCUCCAUUUGCUAUUCUGCAGAAAGAGAACCCAAGCUGGAGUGAAGGGCCCAGAGGGAAGGGUGGAAACUGAGACACUGCUGGCUAGUGCUGUGCAGGCUCACUCUGCAGGCAUCUCGUAAGCACGCUUUACGUGUUCACUAGUUUAAUCCUUGGUUCAGGUGUGUCCCCUCGUAUGUGUGAAUGUGACCUUACUUGACGUUGGGUUGUAAAGACUUAAUAAAGUCAAGAUGAACUCAU